rnacentral:rRNA from 1 species
UACAGAGGGUGCAAGCGUUAAUCGGAAUUACUGGGCGUAAAGCGUGCGUAGACGGUCACGUAAGUCGGGUGUGAAAGCCCUUGGCUUAACCGAGGAAGUGCAUCCGAAACUGGCGAGCUAGAGUACUAAAGAGGAUCGCGGAAUUCCCGGUGUAGAGGUGAAAUUCGUAGAUAUUGGGAAGAACACCGGUGGCGAAGGCGGCGACCUGGUCCUUGACUGACGCUGAGGCGCGAAAGCGUGGGGAGCAAACAGG